rnacentral:sRNA from 1 species
UGGACUCUGCUGGGAUUAUUUUGACCCCCCAGGGCAGAGUGUAGCCAUCUGACUGGCUUUCUCUCUCGGCAGGAGACGGGGCGCACGCCUGCAGGCUUCAGUUUCACAUUCUUGGUACCUCCUGGUGGUGCCUGGGAGGGAGCCACUGCUGUACAGAGAUGCCAAUUCCAGAGGCAUGGUCCGGCACAGAGCGGUGGCUUCCAGCUGAAGGACAUGUGUAACAGCAGGAGAUGCCUUUCUCUGGGGUCCCAGGCUCCCGUCCUGGACCUUGGCACCCCGCCCCCCGUGCAGUGUCGUCUUCUGAGUCUGGCUUUGUCUGGCACAUGAAGUUGGAUGGGUAGACUCUGGAAGCGUCCAGACCAGCUUGCGGUGCUGAUGAAUAAGCUGAUUUUGAUGGGGUUUUGGGAUUUGAGAUUGACGCGGUGAACUCUGUCCAGUUUUCAAACCACACAGGUGCCCUGCUGCUGGGCUUGGUGGUCCCUGCUGCAGGGAAGGGGCAGCUGGUGUGAACACAAGGAGCUGCAGGGCUGGAGAAGGCCCGGGCCAGGAGCCUGCCGACGGACACCAGUGAGGGGCCGGGCCCGGGCCAGGAGCCUGCCAACGGACACCAGCGAGGGGCCAGGCCAGCCCAGACUCCCUGGCCGGCUGGGGUCUGACAGGAGCGCCAGGCUCCUUGGGCCGCCCGAGGAACCGCUUGUUUGCCUGUGCUUUUUCAUCUGUAAACGGAAUGAGUUGGACACAAGAUCCAAGCGCCCUCCCCUGUUUGAGAAGGUUCUUGUGGGCUCUGGGCCCAUCCCACAUCCCACAGUGGGCAGGAGGCCACCAAGAGGUGCAAGACCAUGCCCUCUGUUUCGAUAGGAAGCUGGGCCUCAGAGGGGCCUGGGGCCUGUGUCUGAGACCUGGCCAAGUGCUGGACGUCUCCCCUUCCUCAUGGCUGUUAUGGCGGAAUUACGUCCCCCCAAAUUCUCAUGUUGCAGCCUUAACCCCAGCACCUCAGUGUGGGACUGGGUUUGGAGAUGGAGCCCCUACAGAGGUCAGCAGGUUAAAAGAGGCCAUCAGGGCUCUGGGUGGGCCCUGAUCCAAGCUGAUUGGUGUCCUUGUAAGAAGACGAGAUGAGGACACAGACACACACAGAGGGACAGCCCCAUGAGGAAACAGGGAGGCAAUGCCGUCUGCAAGCCCAGGGCAGAGGCCUCAGGAACCAGCCCUGGUGACACCUGGACCUUGGACCCCCGUGCCCAGGACAGUAGGAGAAUUGGAGCCGCCUGGCUGCAGUCCUUCCCGAUGGCACCCUGUAUUAGUCCGUUCUCACACUGCUAAUUGUUGGGAAAAGGGCUUGUGGGGUCCCUGUAUAAACUGGCCAUGAAAAUAUGGGACAAUAAGUUGUGGAAAGCCACAAGAGGCCUCUGAGGAGGAAAGCCUCCUAAUUGCCAUCAUGUUCGCAUGCUCAGAGUGAGACCUGCUCUCUUAUCUGUAAACACCGUGUUCAAGGAGAAGGACACUCCUUUGAAGCACUAGACUGUGGACAGACACACGAGCUCCUGGUUAAGCCCGCUCCCACCAGCUCCUCUCCGAUAAGUUAAAGAUACGCUGUUUGAGCACAAAGGAGAUUCAUUGAAACCGCUAUUGCUGUAGAUGACGCCUGUGACGCACUGCCUCCCUUUCACUGUUUCACCCUGAACAUCUGCUUCUCAGAUCUGAGUGA